AUUGAACGCUGGCGGCAGGCCUAACACAUGCAAGUCGAGCGGAUGAAGGGAGCUUGCUCCUGGAUUCAGCGGCGGACGGGUGAGUAAUGCCUAGGAAUCUGCCUGGUAGUGGGGGAUAACGUCCGGAAACGGGCGCUAAUACCGGAUACGUCCUGAGGGAGAAAGUGGAGGAUCUUCGGACCUCACGCUAUCAGAUGAGCCUAGGUCGGAUUAGCUAGUUGGUGGGGUAAAGGCCUACCAAGGCGACGAUCCGUAACUGGUCUGAGAGGAUGAUCAGUCACACUGGAACUGAGACACGGUCCAGACUCCUACGGGAGGCAGCAGUGGGGAAUAUUGGACAAUGGGCGAAAGCCUGAUCCAGCCAUGCCGCGUGUGUGAAGAAGGUCUUCGGAUUGUAAAGCACUUUAAGUUGGGAGGAAGGGCAGUAAGUUAAUACCUUGCUGUUUUGACGUUACCAACAGAAUAAGCACCGGCUAACUUCGUG
rnacentral:rRNA from 1 species